GGCCCUGUAGCUUAAGCGGAAAAAGCCCGUGGAAAAAUAUUACCAUGGAGUGUACGGAUCAUACCGUUGCCGGUACGCCUGGCAAUGGUCAGAAUUUACAGUGCACCGAAAUCUGAAGUAUCGAAAGUAGGGAUGCGUAUUUACAGUCGUACUGCCUGAAGGGGAAUGCAGGUUCGAGUCCUGCCAGGGCUA
rnacentral:tRNA from 1 species